AGCCCGGCCGCCCGCGGCGCGGCGCAGCCCCGGCCCCCAGAAGCCGCUCAGUCGGCGCUGCCCGGAUGCCGCCCCAUUCUCCCCGAGCUGGGACGCGGCGCUAGCACCGCCCGGCCGGCCGCGCAUGAGCAGGGCUGCCAGCUGCGCGUCAUUCCCCGGCGCAGGCCCGGCCGUGCCCCCGGCCCCCCCUCCUUCCCCCUCCUUCUCCUCCUCCUCCUUCCCGCCCCGCCGCCGCCUCGCCUCCUCUCAGCCCGGGCCGGGGGCGCCGCCGCCCGCCCUCGCCCUCGGGAAAAGUUUCUCCCGGCCCCGGGACCCCCCUGCCCCGCUCUCGGCCGGCGGGGCCGGGGUCACCUCGGCCAGUACUUGGUUCCUGGGCACUCACCUGGGACAGGGGCCAGCUUGGUGGCCAGCCAAGUAGCUGUGCAGUGCCCAGUCCCAGGGACAGCACCGAGGAAGGUGUGCCAGGAUCAGGGCCCCAGCACCGAGCACUGACCAUCCUACGUAUCACAAUGGUAGCAGGACUUAAUCCUCCUGUUAUCAUCUUUUAUUGCACACAGUCAGAUAUUGCAGCACGUUACCAUCACUUCUGGGUACUCCCUUCCUUGUGUGGGGCUGGCUUUGCUCCACUGGACUAACUUGGCUUAAUUUCUUAUGUCUUCAGCUGCUCUCUCCUUCCCUGGGGAGAAGCCUCCAGUUCUGGAUGUGAGAGACGUUAGAAGGAUGUUGUGAAAUAAAACCUAAAGAAGUCCACCGAGAUUCAUCAACAAAGGAAGGAAUCCAUGGAGGAGGUUCAGUGUUACUGGGAGCCGUGGAAGUGAGGGAAGCCAAAAAGUCUCCUGCCACCUGCUCCCACCUGUGUUGCAGUUCAGUCCACCAGGGAUGGUGGCUCCUCGGGCUGGUGCCUCCAGCAGUGGCAGGCUGGAGUGGUGUCUAACACACCUGCCAAAGGCUUUGGUGUGGGCACUUCAGUGUCCACCUUUCCUCUGUUUUUCCGUGUUCCUGACCUAAUUGCACCAACAGAGCAGUCAAAAAUUAACCUCCUUCCACCUGGCCCAAACAGGCUCUUUUAGAAGAGUUUCUGGUGUCUGGCAGCAGCUUUGCCCUACCUUACAUAGACAAGUGCUAAAAUAAAUAUCAUCCUCUUAAAAUGUA